GACGAACGCUGGCGGCGUGCCUAAUACAUGCAAGUCGAGCGGACUUUCAAGAAGCUUGCUUUUUGAAAGUUAGCGGCGGACGGGUGAGUAACACAUGGGCAACCUGCCUGUAAGACGGGGAUAACUCCGGGAAACCGGGGCUAAUACCGGAUAAUAUUUUUCUUCGCAUGAAGGACGGUUGAAAGGCGGCGCAAGCUGCCGCUUGCAGAUGGGCCCGCGGCGCAUUAGCUAGUUGGUGAGGUAACGGCUCACCAAGGCGACGAUGCGUAGCCGACCUGAGAGGGUGAUCGGCCACACUGGGACUGAGACACGGCCCAGACUCCUACGGGAGGCAGCAGUAGGGAAUCUUCCGCAAUGGACGAAAGUCUGACGGAGCAACGCCGCGUGAGCGAAGAAGGUCUUCGGAUCGUAAAGCUCUGUUGUCAGGGAAGAACAAGUACCGUUCGAAUAGGGCGGUACCUUGACGGUACCUGACCAGCAAGCCACGGCUAACUACGUGCCAGCCGCCGCGGUAA
rnacentral:rRNA from 1 species